rnacentral:rRNA from 1 species
GACGAACGCUGGCGGCGUGCUUAACACAUGCAAGUCGAACGGAAAGGCCCUGCUUUUGUGGGGUGCUCGAGUGGCGAACGGGUGAGUAACACGUGAGUAACCUGCCCUUGACUUUGGGAUAACUUCAGGAAACUGGGGCUAAUACCGGAUAGGAGCUCCUGCUGCAGGGUGGGGGUUGGAAAGUUUCGGCGGUGGGGGAUGGACUCGCGGCUUAUCAGCUUGUUGGUGGGGUAGUGGCUUACCAAGGCUUUGACGGGUAGCCGGCCUGAGAGGGUGACCGGCCACAUUGGGACUGAGAUACGGCCCAGACUCCUACGGGAGGCAGCAGUGGGGAAUAUUGCACAAUGGGCGGAAGCCUGAUGCAGCAACGCCGCGUGCGGGAUGACGGCCUUCGGGUUGUAAACCGCUUUCGCCUGUGACGAAGCGUGAGUGACGGUAAUGGGUAAAGAAGCACCGGCUAACUACGUG